rnacentral:rRNA from 1 species
CACCGGCUAACUCCGUGCCAGCAGCCGCGGUAAUACGGAGGGUGCGAGCGUUAAUCGGAAUUACUGGGCGUAAAGCGCAUGCAGGUGGUUUGUUAAGUCAGAUGUGAAAGCCCGGGGCUCAACCUCGGAAUUGCAUUUGAAACUGGCAGACUAGAGUACUGUAGAGGGGGGUAGAAUUUCAGGUGUAGCGGUGAAAUGCGUAGAGAUCUGAAGGAAUACCGGUGGCGAAGGCGGCCCCCUGGACAGAUACUGACACUCAGAUGCGAAAGCGUGGGGAGCAAACAGGAUUAGAUACCCUGGUAGUCCACGCCGUAAACGAUGUCUACUUGGAGGUUGUGGCCUUGAGCCGUGGCUUUCGGAGCUAACGCGUUAAGUAGACCGCCUGGGGAGUACGGUCGCAAGAUUAAAACUCAAAUGAAUUGACGGGGGCCCGCACAAGCGGUGGAGCAUGUGGUUUAAUUCGAUGCAACGCGAAGAACCUUACCUACUCUUGACAUCCAGAGAACUUUCCAGAGAUGGAUUGGUGCCUUCGGGAACUCUGAGACAGGUGCUGCAUGGCUGUCGUCAGCUCGUGUUGUGAAAUGUUGGGUUAAGUCCCGCAACGAGCGCAACCCUUAUCCUUGUUUGCCAGCGAGUAAUGUCGGGAACUCCAGGGAGACUGCCGGUGAUAAACCGGAGGAAGGUGGGGACGACGUCAAGU